rnacentral:rRNA from 1 species
AUGGGUGUUUUACGUAUAAAUACUAUUUUUGCUUAUUUUGACGAUCCCCGAUACAGAAAAGAUAAAAAGGGUUCAGGAAUUGUUAAAUUUAGAUAUAGGACCCAAGAAGAAGAAUAUAGGACUCGAGCGGAAGACUCAGAAGACGAAUACAGGACCCGAGAGGACGAAUAUGAAUAUGGAACCCUAGCAGAAUCUAAAUAUGGAAUCCUAGAAGACGAAUACAAAUAUGAAACCCUAGAAGACGAAUAUGGGAGCCCAGAAAACGAAUAUGGGAACCCAGAGAACGAAUAUAGGACUUUAGAGAAGGACUCAGAAGAGGAAUAUGGGAGCCCAGAGAGAAAAUAUAGGACCCAAGAGGACGAAUAUGGAACUCUAGAGGAAGACUCACAAGACGAAUAUGGCAGCCCCGGGGAAAGCGCAGAAGAAAAAUAUGGUACUUUAGAGGAAGACUCAGAAGAAGAUUCAGAGGAUGAAUACGAGAGCCCAGAGGAAGAUUCCAUCUUAAAAAAAGAGGGUUUGAUUGAGCAUCGAGGAACAAUAGAAUUUAGUCUAAAAUACCAAAAAGAAGUAGAUCGGUUUUUUUCAUUCUUCAAGAACUUCAUAUCUUGCCGAGAUCUUCAUCCCUAA